rnacentral:rRNA from 1 species
AGCGAACGCUGGCGGCAGGCCUAAUACAUUCAAGUCGAACGGCUCUUCGGAGCAGUGUCGGACGGGUGGAUAACGCGUGGGAAUGUGCCCUUAGGAACGGAACAACACAUGGGAACAUGCGCUAAUACCGUACGUGACCUUCGGGGGAAAGAUUUAUCGCCUUUGGAGCAGCCCGCCUUGGAUUAGGUAGUUGGUGGGGUAAAGGCUGACCAAGGCGCCGAACCAUAGCUGGUCUGAGAGGGUAACCAGCCACAAUGGGACUGAGACACGGCCCAGACUCCUACGGGAGGCAGCAGUAGGGAAUCUUGCGCAAUGGGCGAAAGCCUGACGCAGCCAUGCCGCGUGUAUGAUGAAGGUCUUAGGAUUGUAAAAUACUUUCACCGGGGAAGAUAAUGACGGUACCCGGAGAAGAAGCCCCGGCUAACUUCGUGCCAGCCGCCGCAGUAA